rnacentral:rRNA from 1 species
AAUCAACGCUGGGGGCGUGCCUAACACAUGCAAGUCGAGCGAGAAAAGGGAGCAAUCCCUGAGUACAGCGGCGCACGGGUGAGUAACACGUGGGUAAUCUGCCUCGGAGUGGGGAAUAACACCGGGAAACCGGUGCUAAUACCGCAUACGAUCACGAUGUCUGCGGACGUUGUGAUGAAAGGCGCAAGUCGCUCUGAGAGGAGCCCGCGGCUGAUUAGCUAGUUGGUGGGGUAAUGGCCCACCAAGGCAACGAUCAGUAUCCGGUCUGAGAGGACGGUCGGACACACUGGAACUGAGACACGGUCCAGACUCCUACGGGAGGCAGCAGUGGGGAAUUUUUGGCAAUGGGGGCAACCCUGACCAAGCAACGCCGCGUGGGUGAUGAAGUCUCUUGGGACGUAAAACCCUUUCGACGGGGAAGAAACCGCAAGGUUGACGGUACCCGUAGAAGAAGCCCCGGCUAACUCCGUGCCAGCCGCCGCCGUAAUAC